GAUGAAGAACGCAGCGAAAUGCGAUAAGUAAUGCGAAUUGCAGAAUUCCAGUGAGUCAUCGAAUCUUUGAACGCACAUUGCGCCCCUUGGUAUUCCGAGGGGCAUGCCUGUUCGAGCGUCAUUAUAACCCCUCAAGCUCAGCUUGGUGUUGGGGCCUGCUGCACUGGCAGCCCUUAAAAUCAGUGGCGGCGCCAUCUGGCUCUAAGCGUAGUAAUUCUUCUCGCUAUGGAGUCCUGGUGGAUGCUUGCCAUCAACCCCCAAUUUUUCUAUGGUUGACCUCGGAUCAGGUAGGGAUACCCGCUGAACUUAAGCAUAUCAAUAAGCGGAGGA
rnacentral:misc_RNA from 1 species